rnacentral:rRNA from 1 species
AUUGAACGCUGGCGGCAGGCUUAACACAUGCAAGUCGAGCGAGCGGCGGACGGGUGAGUAAUGUCUGGGAAACUGCCUGAUGGAGGGGGAUAACUACUGGAACCGGUAGCUAAUACCGCAUACCAUCAGAUGUGCCCAGAUGGGAUUAGCUAGUAGGUGGGGUAAUGGCUCACCUAGGCGACGAUCCCUAGCUGGUCUGAGAGGAUGACCUGCAAAACGGGAACGGAGACACGGUCAAGAAUCCUACGGGAGGCAGAAGUGGGGAAUAUUGCACAAUGGGCGCAAGCCUGAUGCAGCCAUGCCGCGUGUGUGAAGAAGGCCUUCGGGUUGUAAAGCACUUUCAGCGAGGAGGCGUUACUCGCAGAAGAAGCACCGGCUAACUCCGUGCCAGCAGCCGCGGUAAUAC